AGGGAAUCCCCCUAUGUGAUAUGUCCCAAUUAUUUUAUUAUCCUCCCAUGUAGGAUACAAUAUCAUAUGACCUGUAUUGGCAACUACGGUUUCAAGCGAUGAGCCCUUUCACUCAAACGCCAUCUUCGGGCAUCCACCUUUCUCAUGAAAAUCAAUGUAAUCAAUCACAUUUCAUACUCUGUAGCGUAUUGCCACACCCG
rnacentral:lncRNA from 1 species